rnacentral:sRNA from 1 species
AGUUAUAUUUUCAUAGGUUUUGACCCCCAAC